CCUGAAAAGGUAGCAAAGUGUUCUUGAAAAACAAGAGGGGAGAACGAGUGGAUACUGCCAAACAGCUGCAAACUGAACACCCUGCAGUAUAAACAGACCAGAAGCUACAGGCAAACUACAUAACAUGAGGACUGAAUGUGCAACUUGCAGCCCUUAAGAUACUUUCUAGCAAGUCUCUGACUGCCAUUGGAAUUCUGAGAGAUGAUGUAAUUAGCAUCUGGAAGAUUGCACAUUGCUACAGGAAAUAACAUAUAAGCACAUAUCCAUAUAGCACAUAUAACAGCACAUUUAGUUGAAUUUUAUACUUUUUUCACCCUAAUAAUCAAGAACCAAGCGUUAUUUUAAGAAACAGUAGAAGUAGCCUGAACUGCGUAGGGUUGCAGCAACGCAUUACACAUUUCAUACAUCUGUCUCUUAAAAGAGAAAUGUUGUGAAGUAUGACAUAUGUAUUUUUACACUGACACACCAUGUAUUUAUUAUAAACCAAAAAUACUAAAAUGUAGUACCUAUUUUAGCAUAUUGCUUCAAAUAUUUUUUAUACAGUUGUUAGAAUCAAACAUACAUAAUUCAGUUCUACAACCUGAUAUGUUAAGAUGUUAAGCAUGCCAACGAAAUGAAGGUCCCCACCACUGUAAUUAUACAUAUAUACACAUUAUAUACAUAUAUAUAUAUAUAUAUUCUAUACACACACACAUUCCUCCACCCACACAAUCAUUAUAUGAAAUACAUAUCAUUGAUACCAAGAAUUGCCAAUUAAGUAUAUAAUGACACAAGCAAUAUGAGAAUUCAUGCCAAGAAAAGGGUACAUAGGACACAUCUUUAUAGCUUAUAAACACACAUCAGCAGUGCACAUUAUAAAUGGUUUGAUGGAGUAUGAGUCCUCCAUGUUUAGUUCUCUCUACUAAAUUUCCCCUUGGUAACCCCCCUUCCCCCUAGCCUCAGCCUCUCGCUCCCUUCUCUCCUCUCCUCCAUGACUCCCCUCCCCCAACUGUCCCUUUCCAUUGUCUCUCCAUUUUGCGGUGUCCUUCCCAUGUCCAUCUAGGCUUUGGGAAAUGACAAAAUCGCAGAGAUGCUUACAGACACACAGAUAGGGAUCCCUGCUGAGACAGGACAAGGAAGUGCUGAGACAGGCAAGUAGAUGGCAGAGGGACACAGAGCAACGAAUCCCUCAUUCCAGGACACAUCUCCACACAGGCAAAUGAGCAAAGAAGCCAGAUGUAAACCAUAGCUUCCAAUGAGAAGAGACUGCGUAGGAUGUAUCCAUGAGAAUGGCAGGAAGAGCAGCUCCAGAGGAAAUACACAGCAUCUUCAGAGCAAGAAGAGUGCCAUCUACAGACUGACCCUGCAGUACCUAGAAAAGUGGAUUGGGAGAUUAUUGUUUGGGAUCUAGGAGUGUAAGGGAAAUGUUAUAAAGCCAUAUUAUGGUACAAUAAAAUACAUGCCCUUUUAUACACACUUUUGAAAGAUACUAUAUAGUUGUCUAUAUCUCAUUUAUGCGUUACUGUGCCAAAACUGGGAGCAGGAAUUCUAGCAGAAAGAUGCGAUAAAGACAGAUAAAACAUUAAACUGUGUUUGCUUUAAUGACA